rnacentral:rRNA from 1 species
CCUACGGGAGGCAGCAGUAGGGAAUAUUGCUCAAUGGGGGAAACCCUGCAGCAGCAACGCCGCGUGGAGGAUGAAGGUUUUCGGAUUGUAAACUCCUUUUGUUAGAGAAGAUAAUGACGGUAUCUAACGAAUAAGCACCGGCUAACUCCGUGCCAGCAGCCGCGGUAAUACGGAGGGUGCAAGCGUUACUCGGAAUCACUGGGCGUAAAGAGCGCGUAGGCGGGAUAGCAAGUCAGAUGUGAAAUCCUAUGGCUUAACCAUAGAACUGCAUUUGAAACUGUUCUUCUAGAGUAUGGGAGAGGUAGGUGGAAUUCUUGGUGUAGGGGUAAAAUGCGUAGAGAUCAAGAGGAAUACUCAUUGCGAAGGCGACCUGCUAGAACAUAACUGACGCUGAUGCGCGAAAGCGUGGGGAGCAAACAGGAUUAGAUACCCCAGUAGUC